UCAUGUUGCACGAUGUCCGACAUCGUGGACGAAGGCAUCACACGUGAUUGUGGAAGAUAUUAACAAGUGCCGGGAGCCAAUCCCCAGCCUGGAGGCCAUCUACCUGCUCAGCCCAGUGGAGAAGUCGGUGCAGGCUCUGAUCAAUGACUUCCAGGGCACCCCCACCUUCAACUACAAGGCAGCUCACGUCUUCUUCCUCAGCCCCUGUCCUGAGCCUCUGUUCAACGAGCUGAGGAAGUCAUGGAUCACCAAGGCCAUCAAAACCCUCAAGGAGAUCAACAUGGCCUUCCUGCCCUAC